CCUACGGGAGGCAGCAGUGAGGAAUAUUGGUCAAUGGACGAGAGUCUGAACCAGCCACGUAGCGUGAAGGAUGACUGCUCUAUGGGUUGUAAACUUCUUUUAUAUGGGAAUAAAAUGUUCCACGUUUGGGAUUUUGUAUGUACCAUAUGCAUAAGGAUCGGCUAACUCCGUGCCAGCAGCCGCGGUAAUACGGAGGAUCCGAGCGUUAUCCGGAUUUAUUGGGUGUAAAGGGAGCGUAGGUGGAUUGUUAAGUCAGUUGUGAAAGUUUGCGGCUCAACCGUAAAAUUGCAGUUGAAACUGGCAGUCUUGAGUACAGUAGAGGUGAGCGGAAUUCGUGGUGUAGCGGUGAAAUGCUUAGAUAUCACGAAGAACUCCGAUUGCGAAGGCAGUUCACUGGACUGCAACUGACACUGAGGCUCGAAAGUGUGGGUAUCAAACAGGAUUAGAUACCCCUGUAGUC
rnacentral:rRNA from 1 species